rnacentral:lncRNA from 1 species
GUAAAUCCUGGGUCUGCCACUCACUGUCUGUGAACUCUAAGCCUCAGUUUCCAUGUUAGUAUUACUUGCUAGAGUUGUUGUGAGGAUUUAAUUAAAUCAUAUCUGUAAAGGCACUCAACUAAGGCUAGUCAUUGUUACUUCAGUGAUGUAAGAUCGAAGUAAAAAUGUAAACCAUGAUGCUUCCAUUCUUUCCUAAAUUAUGGGUGUGAGUGAUAGGGAGUGGAGGAUGAGUGUAUGACUGAGAUAGCAUGGGGGUACCUCCUAGGGCUUCCCAUAUCUCUUAGCUGCUCACUGGGUUUUCAACUCUUCCUGGCUUCCUUCUGUUCCAGAGCCUGAGUUCUAAGUGUCAGAAAUAAUGGACUGGUGCAUAGGCAACACUGAGGAUUUCUAUACUGGAAAUACAUACCUAUCAAGUUACUGAAAACAAAUAGAGAACUUUUCUUAUAUGGGAUUUAAAUCUGCACACGUCUAACAAGCUCUCCAGUGAUGCCAAUGCUGCUCAUCUGAGGACCACACUUUGAGCACCAAAGAGCUAGAGUUUUCGCUUCUGCCUACCCCUACUUCCAAGGGAGCCAACAGACUCUGAGGCCUGUGUUCACUCCUUCUCUAGCAGAGCCAACAGACCCAGGUGGAGAAAAUCUACAUGCAACAAGAUUCAUAAGGAACUAGAAGAGAGGGGAAGUGCCUUUUCAGAAUACGGAGGGAAGUGGUGACACCAGUAGGAUGAAGGGAUAAAAGAGGAGAGGACUGUAGGCAUUGCUGGAGAGAAUGGAGAGAAUGUAGGACAGCAGGCAGGGCUCUGUGCUUGGCAUCCUUUCUCCAGAGGCCCCGGUGGGAAGGAGGUCUUCCUCCUUCAAGUAGUGCAAAGGAAUGAAGUAGUUGCAUUGGAGGUUACAGGGGUACUAGGUGGCAUGCCCUUUUAAGACCAUGUGUCCUUGAGGCUCCUUGUCUAGGCUACGUGCCAACACUCAUGAUGAUAACACAUGAUAAUAAUCCUGGGCUUGGUUAACCCAGCUGUUUUUGAAUGGGUGAGUUAGCACAAAGUCCCUCAUGGUCUGAGGGAACACGGAAGCCCUUGGGGAGGCGGGGGGCUCUGGUCCUUGGAAUGCAGGUCAUAUAGGGACAGUCCCCCUUGGUAAGCACACAGCCUUUGUUCCUUUGCCUACUUAAGCAAGCAUCUCUCAGGGAGCAGUAGCAGGUGCACAUCUCGGGUCCACUGGACUUUCCCUGUAAGUAACUCCCCGAUAAAAACUUAUGUCUCGUUCACCAUCUCUGGGUCUUUUCUUUGGUCUCUUGGCAACCUGUCCUGCACUGCUCACCUAGCUGGGCAUGUAGCAGAACAGAGGCUCGGUGACCAGUCUUAUGUCCCCCACUUCCUAGUCCUUUGUAAUUGGCACUUUUCACUUGAAAUCUUGAAUGAAGAACUACUUAAACCAUUCUUAG